rnacentral:lncRNA from 1 species
AAAGAGGGUAAUCAAGGCAAAAGGGCAUCAGAGAUUCUCUAGCUAUCCAAAUGUGAAAUCAAUGUAACCAAAAGAUAAAAAUCAGUACUUUAAAAAUAGAGCUGCAAUUUGAACCUAUGUCUAGUCCAUAGGCAGAAUUCCUGAUAAGGGGAGAACUUCUUGUAUGUUUUGUAUGUUUAGGAAAAAGAAUGUAGUAGGUUAAUUAAAAUAAAUAAAUAAAAUGGAAGACCUACAUGCAUAGACUAAAGAGGAGACCUUCAAUCAGAGUUUAUUUGCAUAAGGAAUAAAAGGAAUAAUUAAAUUCAUUUUGCAAGUUUGGGAAACAGGUUUGUGGACAGAGAGAAAAGCAAGAAGGGGUGGAAGAGAAGGUCCUCAGGACAGAGAGAGAAGUUUGAGGCAGAUGCACGGCUCUGAGGAAAAAGAUGCCCAGUGAUACUUUCUCUGUGAGAGUAUGGGUGGAGAACAUCGAGACAGUGAUGCCUCAUACUCAAUAGUGCUGGUUCUAAAAGGAAACAAUUAGAAGCAACUGGGAUAGCAAGAAUUUGAAGUCGGCAGGAAGUCAAAGAAAGACGUAACCAUGGAAACAUAAAUGCCAAAAAAAAUCUGGAAUGUUAGAGAAGAAUGUAGCCUCCUCAUAAUACAUGAGAUAUGAGUUCAAGGCGUUUUAUUUAGUUAUUAAAGCAAAGUGUAGCCUCAGAAUUCAGGAGGAGCUUGAAGACAUCAGGGAGGAAGAAAAAGAUGUACCACUUUCUUCAAGUCUUUUCUGAACAAUAAUGGAUUUACUUCUUUCACCAUUGUUCAGCUUGUUCACCUUUCCAAGGCUUUUGAGGAUGAGGAAGUGUUGCAGGCAUUGGAGUAUCAGAUAUUUCUUUGCAAAAUACUACUGCAUUCCACCUCAGCCGCUCCAUCCUGCCUUGACCAGGAAAGAUACAAGCUAUGCUUCUAUUUCCUGA